GAAGAAAAAAGUAAAUAAGGGCACAUGGGGGAUGCCUAGGCUCUCGAAGGCGACGAAGGACGUGAUAAGCUGCGAAAAGUUACGGGGAGGAGCAAAUAUCCUUUGAUCCGUAAAUAUCCGAAUGGGGCAACCCGUCAGAAGAAGAUUCUGUCAUCUGGUCUAACCAGAAGCAAACGUGGGGAACUGAAACAUCUAAGUACCCAUAGGAAAAGAAAACAAAAGUGAUUCCCAGAGUAGUGGCGAGCGAAAUGGGAUUAGCCCAAACCAAUAAUGUUUCGGCAUUAUUGGGGUUGUAGGACUGCGCUGUGGCAAGAAGUUAGAGUAGUAGAACGAUUUGGAAAGAUCGAUCACAGAGGGUGAUAAUCCCGUAUACGAAACCCUAACCAAGCCUAGCAGACUCCUGAGUAGUGCGGGACACGAGAAAUCCUGUAUGAAUCCACCGGGACCAUCCGGUAAGGCUAAAUACUUCCGAGAGACCGAUAGUGAACCAGUACCGUGAGGGAAAGGUGAAAAGAACCUCGAACAGAGGAGUGAAAUAGACCCUGAAACCAUGUGCCUACAAGCGGUCGGAGCCAUUAAUGGUGACGGCGUGCCUUUUGCAUAAUGAACCUACGAGUUACUCUCAUUGGCAAGGUUAAGUACCAGUAGGUACGCAGCCGAAGCGAAAGCAAGUCUUAACAGGGCGCUUAGUCAAUGGGAGUAGACGCGAAACCAAGUGAUCUACCCUUGAGCAGGUUGAAGGUUGGGUAACACCAAUUGGAGGACCGAACCGGUAAGCGUUGAAAAGCUUUCGGAUGACUUGAGGGUAGGGGUGAAAGGCUAAUCAAACUUGGAGAUAGCUCGUACUCCCCGAAAUGCAUUUAGGUGCAGCCUCGGCUUAUAACUUGUGUCAGGUAGAGCUACUGAUUGGAUGCGAGGGCUUCACCGCCUAUCAAGUCCAGAUAAACUCCGAAUGGGCACAAGAUUUUACCGGGAGUGAGGGCAUGGGUGCUAAGGUCCAUGUCCGAGAGGGAAAGAACCCAGACCAUCAGCUAAGGUCCCCAAAUACAUGUUAAGUUGAAUUAACGAAGUGUUGCUACAAAGACAGCUAGGAUGUUGGCUUGGAAGCAGCCAUUCAUUUAAAGAGUGCGUAACAGCUCACUAGUCGAGUGGCGAUGCGUGGAUAAUAAUCGGGCAUCAAACAUGUUACCGAAGCUAUGGGAUAAAAUAUUAUCGGUAGGGGAGCAUUCUGUUCAGCGUAGAAGGCGUAGCGUAAGCUACUCUGGAGCGGACAGAAAAGCAAAUGUAGGUAUGAGUAACGAUAAAGGAGGUGAGAAACCUCCUCGCCGAAAGACUAAGGUUUCCUGAUCAACGCUAAUCGGAUCAGGGUCAGUCGGGACCUAAGGAUAAGCCGAAGGGCGAUUCCGAUGGACGAAACGGUUAACAUUCCGUUACUACUAUAAAGAGUGAUGUGGGGACGCAGAAGUGAAACUACUGCCAUCUGACGGAAUAGAUGGUUAAAGAGUGUAGGCGUUGAUUCCGGUAGGCAAAUCCGCCGGGAGAGUCGAACUUGAAAGUAUGAUGAGCCCUUGUGGCAAGUCAAUAAUGUAGGUAAACACACUGCCAAGAAAAACCGCUAAACGCUAAUCUUUAUCGUACCCGUACUAAAACGGACACACGUAGUUGGGUUGAGUAUACUAAGGCGCUCGAGUGAUUCACAGUUAAGGAAUUAGGCAAAAUGACCCUGUAACUUCGGGAGAAAGGGUACCUAUCAGUGAUGGUAGGUCGCAGAGAAUAGGUCCAGGCAACUGUUUAACAAAAACACAUGGCUAUGCAAAUUAGAAAUAAGAAGUAUAUAGCCUGACACCUGCCCGGUGCUGGAAGGUUAAGAGGAGAAGUCAUCAGCAAUGAGAAGCUUUGAAUUGAAGCCCCAGUAAACGGCGGCCGUAACUAUAACGGUCCUAAGGUAGCGAAAUUCCUUGUCGGGUAAGUUCCGACCUGCACGAAUGGUGUAAUGAUCUGGACACUGUCUCAACUGUGAGCUCGGUGAAAUUGUAGUAUCGGUGAAGAUGCCGAUUACCCGCGAUGGGACGAAAAGACCCCGUGAACCUUUACUAUAGCUUUACAUUGAAUUUGGGCACUUGAUGUGUAGGAUAGGCCGGAGACUAUGAAGCAGGUACGCUAGUAUUUGUGGAGUCACCCUUGAAAUACGGCCCUUUAAUUGUUUGAAUUCUAACUCGUAGAUACGAGGACACUGUAUGGUGGGUAGUUUGACUGGGGUGGUCGCCUCCAAAAGAGUAACGGAGGCUUCUAAAGGUGCGCUCAGAACGAUUGGUAACCGUUCGUAGAGUGUAAUGGCAUAAGCGCGCUUGACUGAGAGACCGACAAGUCGAUCAGGUAGGAAACUAGAGCAUAGUGAUCCGGUGGUUUCAGUAUGGAAUGGCCAUCGCUCAAAGGAUAAAAGGUACUCCGGGGAUAACAGGCUGAUCAUUCCCAAGAGCUCAUAUCGACGGAAUGGUUUGGCACCUCGAUGUCGGCUCGUCACAUCCUGGGGCUGGAGAAGGUCCCAAGGGUUGGGCUGUUCGCCCAUUAAAGUGGCACGCGAGCUGGGUUCAGAACGUCGUGAGACAGUUCGGUCUCUAUCUAUCGUGGGCGUAGGAUAUUUGCGGGGAUCUGACACUAGUACGAGAGGACCGUGUUGGACAGACCCCUGGUUUACCGGUUGUUCCGCCAGGAGCAUCGCCGGGUAGCUAAGUCUGGAUUGGAUAAGUGCUGAAAGCAUCUAAGUACGAAGCCAGCCUCAAGAUAAGAUAUCCUUAUAAGGGUCGUCGCAGACUACGACGUUGAUAGGCUACAGGUGUAAAGGCAGUAAUGUCAUAGCCGAGUAGUACUAAUUGCCCGAAACUUUUUU
rnacentral:rRNA from 1 species